UGAGGAACCUGCCUUGGAGAGGGGGAAUAACACUCCGAAAGGAGUGCUAAUACCGCAUGAUGCAGUUGGGUCGCAUGGCUCUGACUGCCAAAGAUUUAUCGCUCUGAGAUGGCCUCGCGUCUGAUUAGCUAGUAGGCGGGGUAACGGGCCCACCUAGGCGACGAUCAGUAGCCGGACUGAGAGGUUGACCGGCCACAUUGGGACUGAGACACGGCCCAGACUCCUACGGGAGGCAGCAUG
rnacentral:rRNA from 1 species